UGUGAGCUCGAUGAGUAGGGCGGGACACGUGGUAUCCUGUCUGAAUAUGGGGGGACCAUCCUCCAAGGCUAAAUACUCCUGACUGACCGAUAGUGAACCAGUACCGUGAGGGAAAGGCGAAAAGAACCCCGGCGAGGGGAGUGAAAAAGAACCUGAAACCGUGUACGUACAAGCAGUGGGAGCACGCUUAGGCGUGUGACUGCGUACCUUUUGUAUAAUGGGUCAGCGACUUAUAUUCUGUAGCAAGGUUAACCGAAUAGGGGAGCCGAAGGGAAACCGAGUCUUAACUGGGCGUUAAGUUGCAGGGUAUAGACCCGAAACCCGGUGAUCUAGCCAUGGGCAGGUUGAAGGUUGGGUAACACUAACUGGAGGACCGAACCGACUAAUGUUGAAAAAUUAGCGGAUGACUUGUGGCUGGGGGUGAAAGGCCAAUCAAACCGGGAGAUAGCUGGUUCUCCCCGAAAGCUAUUUAGGUAGCGCCUCGUGAAUUCAUCUCCGGGGGUAGAGCACUGUUUCGGCAAGGGGGUCAUCCCGACUUACCAACCCGAUGCAAACUGCGAAUACCGGAGAAUGUUAUCACGGGAGACACACGGCGGGUGCUAACGUCCGUCGUGAAGAGGGAAACAACCCAGACCGCCAGCUAAGGUCCCAAAGUCAUGGUUAAGUGGGAAACGAUGUGGGAAGGCCCAGACAGCCAGGAUGUUGGCUUAGAAGCAGCCAUCAUUUAAAGAAAGCGUAAUAGCUCACUGGUCGAGUCGGCCUGCGCGGAAGAUGUAACGGGGCUAAACCAUGCACCGAAGCUGCGGCAGCGACGCUUAUGCGUUGUUGGGUAGGGGAGCGUUCUGUAAGCCUGCGAAGGUGUGCUGUGAGGCAUGCUGGAGGUAUCAGAAGUGCGAAUGCUGACAUAAGUAACGAUAAAGCGGGUGAAAAGCCCGCUCGCCGGAAGACCAAGGGUUCCUGUCCAACGUUAAUCGGGGCAGGGUGAGUCGACCCCUAAGGCGAGGCCGAAAGGCGUAGUCGAUGGGAAACAGGUUAAUAUUCCUGUACUUGGUGUUACUGCGAAGGGGGGACGGAGAAGGCUAUGUUGGCCGGGCGACGGUUGUCCCGGUUUAAGCGUGUAGGCUGGUUUUCCAGGCAAAUCCGGAAAAUCAAGGCUGAGGCGUGAUGACGAGGCACUACGGUGCUGAAGCAACAAAUGCCCUGCUUCCAGGAAAAGCCUCUAAGCAU
rnacentral:rRNA from 1 species